rnacentral:rRNA from 1 species
UACGGGGGGAGCAAGCGUUGUUCGGAUUUACUGGGCGUAAAGGGCGCGUAGGCGGCCAGCACAAGUCAGUUGUGAAAUCUCCGAGCUUAACUCGGAAAGGUCAACUGAUACUGUGCGGCUAGAGUGCGGAAGGGGCAACUGGAAUUCUUGGUGUAGCGGUGAAAUGCGUAGAUAUCAAGAGGAACACCUGCGGCGAAGGCGGGUUGCUGGGCCGACACUGACGCUGAGGCGCGAAGGCCAGGGGAGCGAACGGG